ACUCCUGCGGGAGGCAGCAGUGGGGAAUUUUGGACAAUGGGCGAAAGCCUGAUCCAGCAAUGCCGCGUGCAGGAUGAAGGCCUUCGGGUUGUAAACUGCUUUUGUACGGAACGAAAAAGCUCCUUCUAAUACAGGGGGCCCAUGACGGUACCGUAAGAAUAAGCACCGGCUAACUACGUGCCAGCAGCCGCGGUAAUACGUAGGGUGCGAGCGUUAAUCGGAAUUACUGGGCGUAAAGCGUGCGCAGGCGGUUAUGUAAGACAGAUGUGAAAUCCCCGGGCUCAACCUGGGAACUGCAUUUGUGACUGCAUGGCUAGAGUACGGUAGAGGGGGAUGGAAUUCCGCGUGUAGCAGUGAAAUGCGUAGAUAUGCGGAGGAACACCGAUGGCGAAGGCAAUCCCCUGGACCUGUACUGACGCUCAUGCACGAAAGCGUGGGGAGCAAACAGGAUUAGAUACCCUUGUAGUCCCAUG
rnacentral:rRNA from 1 species